AGAGUUUGAUCCUGGCUCAGGACGAACGCUGGCGGCGUGCUUAACACAUGCAAGUCGAACGGUGAAGGAGAGCUUGCUCUUUGGAUCAGUGGCGAACGGGUGAGUAACACGUGAGCAAUCUGCCCCUGACUCUGGGAUAAGCGUUGGAAACGACGUCUAAUACCGGAUACGAGCUGCGACCGCAUGGUCAGCAGUUGAAAGAAUUUCGGUCAGGGAUGAGCUCGCGGCCUAUCAGCUUGUUGGUGAGGUAAUGGCUCACCAAGGCGUCGACGGGUAGCCGGCCUGAGAGGGUGACCGGCCACACUGGGACUGAGACACGGCCCAGACUCCUACGGGAGGCAGCAGUGGGGAAUAUUGCACAAUGGGCGCAAGCCUGAUGCAGCAACGCCGCGUGAGGGACGACGGCCUUCGGGUUGUAAACCUCUUUUAGCAAGGAAGAAGCGAAAGUGACGGUACUUGCAGAAAAAGCGCCGGCUAACUACGUGCCAUCAGCCGCGGUAAUACGUAAGGCGCAAGCGUUAUCCGGAAUUAUUGGGCGUAAAGAGCUCGUAGGCGGUUUGUCGCGUCUGCUGUGAAAUCCCAUGGCUCAACCUCGGGUCUGCUGGGGUACGGCUAGACUAGAGUGGGUAGGUGAAAUUGAAUCCCUGGCGCCCCCUGGAAUGCGAUACACCAUGAGCACACCGACGGUA
rnacentral:rRNA from 1 species